rnacentral:piRNA from 1 species
UAGGAUGGUCGCUCACCAAGUGAUGG